GCANGGGGNUAUAAAAUAAAAGAAACGCGNAGAACCUUACCUACUNUUGACAUNUACAGAAGCCAGCGGAGACGCAGGUGUGCCUUCGGGAACUGUAAGACAGGUGCUGCAUGGCUGUNNACAAAAACGUGUUGUGAAAUGUUGGGUUAAGUCCCGCAACGAGCGCAACCCUUAUCCUUGUUUGCCAGCACUUCGGGUGGGAACUCCAGGGAGACUGCCGGUGAUAAACCGGAGGAAGGUGGGGACGACGUCAAGUCAUCAUGGCCCUUACGAGUAGGGCUACACACGUGCUACGAUGGCGCAUACAGAGGGCGGCCAACUUGCGAAAGUGAGCGAAUCCCAAAAAGUGCGUCGUAGUCCGGAUUGGAGUCUGCAACUCGACUCCAUGAAGUCGGAAUCGCUAGUAAUCGUGGAUCAGAAUGCCACGGUGAAUACGUUCCCGGGCCUUGUACACACCGCCCGUCACACCAUGGGAGUGGGCUGCAAAAGAAGUGGGUAGUUUAACCUUCGGGAGGACGCUCACCACUUUGUGGUUCAUGACUGGGGUGAAGUCGUAACAAGGUAACCG
rnacentral:rRNA from 1 species